ensembl:lncRNA
GAGAUUAAAAGCAGCUUAAAUCAUUGCAGCAUGUGAAGUGAAUAUGCAUUUGAUUUUCAGUAAAAUGGGAGAAAAUUAUAAGGAUACGUUUAACAUCUGCACUGUGAGGCGAGACUUCAUUUGUAUCAGAGUCAAAAGAAGCAAAGACACUCAGGAUUCAGCUGUUCCCUCUCAUACAUGCUCUAGGGGUUAUUGUUGACAUCCUCCUGUGAAUUAAUUCGAUUUCGAAGACAGCGUUAGCAUUGAUGAAACUGGGUUAGCAUCGACGUUAGCAUUCAGCAGAGAACAAACGUCAUGAUUACCAAAGCACAAGCUGCAAUUGCUAACCCCAUUUAGAUAUACAAGGGCAGCGCUAACCUCAUUCAGCAGCAUUAUAGCAGCUAACCUUAUUCAAAGUGAACCUCACAUUUUUUAAAACCAUUUAAGCAUCCACACGAAGUUUGCUAAUUGUACUCGGGGGCUUUUUAAAUGAGAACUUUGUGACAAGGUGUUUUUUUUUUAGUUCAAAUUGAUGCAACAAGAUGUUUUUUUCUGUUUCCAAUCCCUCAGAUAAAUUAAUAAUAACAUUUCCUGUAUCUGCAUCUGGUUUUUGUUUUUGUUUUUUUCAUAUCAAGCCAAACCUACAGAAAAGCACAGACACUGAGAACAUAUCAUUACAUUCGAGUACCACACAUACACAGCUUGGUACUUGUCUAUUUCAUUUCCGACUGCUUCAUUUUUUUCCCUGUUUUACUUUCCCACUUUUUAAGUCCCUUAUCUUUUUAUUCUCUUGCACUCUCUUCCCCCCAGUCUUAGCUUCACAUUUUUUACAUUUGAGAUGACUUGGCAUUUGGCCAAAAUGAUUGCUUUUCCCAUUUAAUUCAAGCAGCCUCUGUCUCUUCCUCUCAUGCUCCCCAUCCCAUUCACAUUCUUAGAAAGACAUACGUGCUGUCCAUAGCUAUUUCUGUGGUGCCACAUUAGGAAGUGACUGUAAAAUAUUAACAAACAAGCCCACACAAAACACAUAAUGUGACACCAUCCAUUAGUCCAGGAAAGGAAAUAAAUGAAAGAGAAGCCAGCAGAAGGCAUAUAAAUGAUGAAACCAUUUCUUUUUUUGUUUGAUUAAUACACAGACGUGUUUAUCACAGCAUUCUUGUUCUCCUCUGACAAGUGUUUUGUCAUUUGUUCUUUUAUUUCCUUCUCUACACUGACUCUUAUAAACUCGAGGGGUCUUUGUGUGUUUUGUAAAAUCCCUAAUAGGUAUC